AACGAACGCUGGCGGCAUGCCUAACACAUGCAAGUCGAACGAGAUCUUCGGAUCUAGUGGCGCACGGGUGCGUAAACGCGUGGGAAUCUGCCCUUGGGUACGGAAUAACUCACCGAAAGGUGUGCUAAUACCGUAUAAUGACUACGGUCCAAAGAUUUAUCGCCCAAGGAUGAGCCCGCGUAAGAUUAGCUUGUUGGUGAGUAAAAGCUCACCAAGGCGACGAUCUUUAGCUGGUCUGAGAGGAUGAUCAGCCACACUGGGACUGAGACACGGCCCAGACUCCUACGGGAGGCAGCAGUGGGAAUAUUGGACAAUGGGCGAAAGCCUGAUCCAGCAAUGCCGCGUGAGUGAUGAAGGCCUUAGGGUUGUAAAGCUCUUUUACCAGGGAUGAUAAUGACAGUACCUGGAGAAUAAGCUCCGGCUAACUCCGUGCCAGCAGCCGCGGUAAUACGGAGGGAGCUAG
rnacentral:rRNA from 1 species